AUUGAACGCUGGCGGCAGGCUUAACACAUGCAAGUCGAGCGGGGUGAUGGUGCUUGCACUAUCACUUAGCGGCGGACGGGUGAGUAAUGCUUAGGAAUCUGCCUGUUAGUGGGGGACAACAUCUCGAAAGGGAUGCUAAUACCGCAUACGUCCUACGGGAGAAAGCAGGGGAUCACCUGUGACCUUGCGCUAAUAGAUGAGCCUAAGUCGGAUUAGCUAGUUGGUGGGGUAAAGGCCUACCAAGGCGACGAUCUGUAGCGGGUCUGAGAGGAUGAUCCGCCACACUGGGACUGAGACACGGCCCAGACUCCUACGGGAGGCAGCAGUGGGGAAUAUUGGACAAUGGGGGGGACCCUGAUCCAGCCAUGCCGCGUGUGUGAAGAAGGCCUUAUGGUUGUAAAGCACUUUAAGCGAGGAGGAGGCUCUUUUGGUUAAUACCCAAGAUGAGUGGACGUUACUCGCAGAAUAAGCACCGGCUAACUCUGGGCCAGCAGCCGCGGUAA
rnacentral:rRNA from 1 species